ensembl:lncRNA
GUGAUGUAUGGCUUGGAUGCAGCUGCUUGGCCAUGGAAACCCAUUCCAUGAAGCUGAAGGUCACACAAAGUUUGGAGGUUCUUCGUCGAGUCCACAGGAACCAGGGCCGAGUCACGGCAGCGCCCCCACUGGUCCUCAAGGCCUCAGGAAACACUUCCUGAGAGGCAAGCUGGACUGUGACAACCAGCCUCCGGACCCCGACCGGCUUUUCCAGCGCUGUUUCAUGGCUACCGUUACAUCAAUCAACGUUGAGGGUCCUACAUAGACUGACCGACUGUUUGUCCUUUUGACCAGCUACUGUAGCAGAGGAUGCAAAUGUGAUUUUAGUUGCGUAACGUUUUGCCUUUAUCAUCUUCAGUUUCACAUAAAUUAUUUGUUAUAUGUGUUUAUGUGAUGUAUUUGUUGCAAAGCAAGACAACACAGAAGUGCUUUUGCUUCUUACAAUCAACAAACUCUAAUUGAAAAGUACUGUUUUGUUGCUGUCCGUAGCAUCACUACAACCAAACAGCAUCACAGGCAGCUUCAAGCCAAAAACAAACAAAUCUUGAAUGCACAACUAUGGGCUUUGAUUCUUUCAACAGUUAAAUAUUUGUAUGUGAUGAAUCUUUAGGGGAGGGAAUUUGCAACAUGUUUGCUGACACGUGUUGAAUGCAGAUCAUUUGAAAUAAAUGGCUUUAAUCAGAUGCUAUUAAAAAAUGUAUUAGUUCCUGUUUCUCGAGAAACUUCCCCAAAGCCCAAAGGCUGUUUAUGCAUUUCAUGUUUCCUGCAAAACAAAGAUGUGGACGUGAUGUGCUGAAGCUGAGAGGCCAAGUAAUUUUGACAAACAAAUGCUAAGUAAAAUGCCCGAACCUCUGGGGACCACUGAGUUUACUCACAGGCUGUGUGUUGGAUUUAUUUGUGCCUAUUCCUCUUAUUUAACCUGCAGCCUCUGCUUGUACAGAGAGGCUAAACUCGGUGUAGAGAGGAGGUGAACAGUGGGAUCAAACUGAAAUAAAAUUGACCUAAUGUAUCUUUCUGUUACUCUGUUAUUAUCUUUCCAG